rnacentral:lncRNA from 1 species
UAAAUAAUUUUAAAAAAAAUGAAAUUAGAGCAUAUUUAUGAAAAAUAGAUGUUGAUUUAAUUGAGCAAUUUAAGCAUCAAAAUAAUAAAAAAUUUAAUACAUAUUUUUUUUAAUUUUUCAGACAAAAAUUGAAAUAAAAAUCAAGUCAAAAUAUUUUAAAAAUAAUUUUUAUUACCUUCAGUGCAUGGUGGACCGGCUGCUCGGUCCACAGAAGCAAGGGUGCGGUCCACAGAACAGUUUCAUGGUCCACAGGUGCGGUUCACAAGCG